UGAGAUACACAGUGUCUUAUGACAUUCCAGUGGACACAGUGGACAGUGACCUCACGUCUCAUGCCGAUGUCAUCAUUAAGGGAAAUGGAUUUGUUCUAAGCACCCAGGCAGAGGGCCUGUAAACUUCAGCCCUACGAAGAGUACUUAAAUGUGGUUAGACUCGUGCCUGAGAACUUCUGAGAUUUUAAUACCAAAAGGGAGAUCGAUCAUGACCAGCUGAUGACUGUCCUUGCCAACGAGACACAUCUCUUGAUCAGAGCCAACUACAAUUCUGCAAAAAGGGCUCUUUACAAGUGUGUAUUGAGAAGGGAGGAAAAACUUAUAGUGAAGGUUGGAUUCUGUCUCUCUGGACACAGCCAGACCUAAUGCUGUAGGCCUGGCAGUGGCCACUGACGUGGAGUGCUGUGAAUGUCCCCAAGGCUACACAGGGAACUCC